GUUGGUGAACCAGCGGAGGGAUCAUUACAGAGUUGCAAAACUCCCAACCAUUGUGAACCUACCUCACCGUUGCUUCGGCGGGUGGCCCCGGGGCAACCCGGAGUCGCGCCGGCCCCGCUCCCGGGGCCCGGCAAACCCGUCAGAAGACCGAAACUCUUCGUCAUCAUUGGCCUCUCUGAGUAACUUAUACAAUAAGUCAAAACUUUCAACAACGGAUCUCUUGGUUCUG
rnacentral:misc_RNA from 1 species